AGUGAACGCUGGCGGUAGGCCUAACACAUGCAAGUCGAACGGCAGCACAGUAAGAGCUUGCUCUUACGGGUGGCGAGUGGCGGACGGGUGAGGCAUACAUCGGAAUCUACUUUUUCGUGGGGGAUAACGUAGGGAAACUUACGCUACUACCUAAUACGACCUACGGGUGAAAGCAGGGGAUCUUCGGACCUUGCGCGAUCGAAUGAGCCGAUGUCGGAUUAGCUAGUUGGGGGGGUAAAGGCCCACCAAGGCGACGAUCCGUAGCUGGUCUGAGAGGAUGAUCAGCCACACUGGAACUGAGACACGGUCCAGACUCCUACGGGAGGCAGCAGUGGGGAAUAUUGGACAAUGGGCGAAAGCCUGAUCCAGCCAUACCGCGUGGGUGAAGAAGGCCUUCGGGUUGUAAAGCCCUUUUGUUGGGAAAGAAAAGCAGCAGGUUAAUACCCCGCUGUUCUGACGGUACCCAAAGAAUAAGCACCGGCUAACUUCGUG
rnacentral:rRNA from 1 species